rnacentral:rRNA from 2 species
AUGCAAAGAACUUUGAAAAGAGAGUUAAAGAGUACCUGAAAUUGCUGAAAGGGAAGCGAAGGAAACCAGUGUCUGCCNUGUCAUACUUCCCUGGCCGCUUGCGGUUUGGGCGCUGUGGCUGGCUGUAGUUGCGUUUGGUUGGAACUUUCGGAAGAGCGCGUAAGGAGUUGACUUGCGUUGCUAGCGUUGGUUCUGACUGAGUGCGACGAAAUGGUUUUCUUUACCCCGUCUUGAAACACGGACCAAGGAGUCUAACAUAUGUGCGAGUACAGAGGUGGCAAACCUCCGUGCGCAAUGAAAGUAACAGUGGUUGGAAUUUUUGCACAAUCCGCCGGCCUCAAUCCUUCGGGAGAACGGUCUGAGUGUGAGCAUACAUGUUGGGACCCGAAAGAUGGUGAACUAUGCCUGAAUAGGGUGAAGCCAGGGGAAACUCUGGUGGAGGCUCGUAGCGAUUCUGACGUGAAAUUUACGAAUCGCUGCAUUCAAGAGUCGGACGAUCGAUGCUUUGCGCGUCAAAAAGUGACCCGAGAGGGAAGCUAGUAGGUGCUUGCGCACCUGCGACAUUGCCAAAUUGCGGGAAACUCCUAAAGCUGAUGUACACCAACCAUGUUUCGGUAACGAGCAUGGGGCCGGGGUAAUGACCUAGGGUACGGUAAAAGCGACAUCAGAUGUAACAAUGGACAAUCCGCAGCCAAGCUGUCUUUCCAGUAAUGGAGAGCAGAAGGUUCAGAGACUAGACGGUAAUGGGCCGAAAGGCUUAAGGUAUAGUCCGGCCUCUCUGGAAACGGAGAGGGUUUGAUGCAGCAUACAAUACAAUACAAUGUAAUACAGUGCAGCAUCAUGUAACACUAGGCAAAUCGAUCGUCAAAUUUGGGUAUAGGGGCGAAAGACUAAUCGAACCAUCUAGUAGCUGGUUCCCUCCGAAAUUUCCCUCA